UUGGAGGGCAAGUCUGGUGCCAGCAGCCGCGGUAAUUCCAGCUCCAAUAGCGUAUAUUAAAGUUGUUGCAGUUAAAAAGCUCGUAGUUGAAUUUCGGGGUUAGUAGGUUGGUCAUGCCACUGGUAUGUACUGGUCUCACUGAUUCCUCCUUCCUGAUGAGCCGUAAUGCCAUUAAUUUGGUGUUGCGAGGAAUCUGGACUGUUACUUUGAAAAAAUUAGAGUGUUUAAAGCAAGCUAACGCUUGAAUACAUUAGCAUGGAAUAAUGAAAUAGGACGUUCGAUCCUAUUUUGUUGGUUUCUAGGAUUGACGUAAUGAUUAAUAGGGAUAGUUGGGGGCAUUAGUAUUCAAUUGUCAGAGGUGAAACUCUUGGAUUUAUUGAAGACUAACUACUGCGAAAGCAUUUGCCAAGGAUGUUUUCAUUAAUCAAGAACGAAAGUUAGGGGAUCGAAGACGAUCAGAUACCGUCGUAGUCUUAACCAUAAACUAUGCCGACUAGGGAUCGGAUGAUGUUAAUUUUUUAAUGACUCAUUCGGCGCCUUACGGGAAACCAAAGUGUUUGGGUUC
rnacentral:rRNA from 1 species